rnacentral:rRNA from 1 species
UAAUGGCAGGUCAGCAUACUGCCGUGAAUACGUUCCCGGGCCUUGUACACACCGCCCGUCACACCAUGAGAGUUGGAGAUACCCGAAGCCUAUGAGCUAACUUUUAGAGGCAGUAGUCGAAGGUAGAAUCAAUGAUUGGGGUGAAGUCGUAACAAGGUAAC